UACGGAGGAUGCGAGCGUUAUCCGGAUUUAUUGGGUUUAAAGGGUGCGUAGGUUGUUUUUUAAGUCAGCGGUGAAAGUUUGUGGCUCAACCAUAAAAUUGCCGUUGAAACUGGAAGACUUGAGUGUGUUUGAGGUAGGCGGAAUAAGUUAAGUAGCGGUGAAAUGCUUAGAUAUAACUUAGAACUCCGAUAGCGAAGGCAGCUUACCAGACUGCGACUGACGCUGAAGCACGAGAGCGUGGGUAGCGAACAGG
rnacentral:rRNA from 1 species